AUGGAGGUGGUGGCGCUGGUGAGCGGCGGCAAGGACAGCUGCUUCUCCAUGAUGCGCUGCCUCGACUACGGCCACAAGGUCGUCGCCCUGGCCAACCUCAUCCCGCUCGACGACGCCGUCGACGAGCUCGACAGCUACAUGUACCAGACCGUCGGGCACCAGAUCGUGGUUUGCUACGCCAAAUGCAUGGGGCUGCCCCUGUUCCGUCGCCGCAUCAGCGGAUCCACAAGGGAUCAUGCUCUCAAAUACAGUGUUACUGCUGGCGAUGAGGUGGAGGACAUGUUUGCCCUGCUGAGCGAGGUGAAGCGGCGAAUCCCGUCCAUUGGCGCCGUGUCUUCGGGCGCCAUCGCCUCCGAUUACCAGAGGCUCCGGGUCGAGAGCGUCUGCUCGAGGCUGGGCCUGGUCUCGCUCGCCUACAUGUGGAGGCAGGACCAGACUCUGCUUCUCGAAGAAAUGAUAAGAAGGGGCAUCGUGGCUAUAACAGUCAAGGUGGCUGCAAUGGGGUUGAAACCUUCUGUCCACUUGGGGAAAGAACUGGCUGAACUAAAGAGCCAUCUGCUCCAGAUGAAUGAGAGUUUUGGAAUCAAUGUCUGUGGUGAAGGUGGAGAGUACGAAACACUAACUCUUGACUGCCCUCUAUUUCGUAAUGCAAGGAUUGUCCUUGAUGAUUUUGAAGUGAUACUCCACUCUGCUGAUUCCAUUGCUUCAGUCGGAAUUCUUCAUCCGCUGGCAUUUCAUGUUGAGCCCAAGCCAGGUUCAUCUAGCAGCAUUGGGGAUGGUGCCAUUGCUGAAGAGAAUUCUAGUUGCCUGUACGAAGUAAAUGGAGCUAUUGCACACACGGAUGGGGAAACCAAACAGACCUUGAAUCCAACACCAACCUCUGAUGCUUACCCAGAUACAAAUGUAUGCAUUUCAAAGACAGGGAAGACUUUGUUUUCCAUUGGUUGUUGGAUAGAAGAACCCUCUAGUGCUUCGCAAGGCAUGAAGGCAGAUCUAGUCAAAGUUUUGAGCAGAAUUGAGAAUCAGCUCAAGGACGGAGGGUUAAGUUGGGCAAAUGUUCUAUAUGUUCACCUCUACAUUUCAAGCAUGAAGGAAUUUGGAUUAGCCAAUGAAGUUUAUGUCAGCUUCAUCACAGAAAAGAAAUGUCACCUUGGUGUUCCCUCGCGCAGUACAAUUGAAUUACCACUUGUUCAGGCUGGUUUAGGCAAUGCAUAUGUGGAGGUUCUAGUGUCAAAUGAUCUGGUCAAAAGAGUUCUGCAUGUACAAAGCAUCUCAUGCUGGGCUCCUAGUUGCAUCGGACCUUAUAGCCAGGCAACACUCUAUGGAGAGAUUCUCUAUAUGGCCGGUCAGCUCGGGCUUGACCCCCCUACGAUGAAGCUCUGUCCUGGAGGUGCAACAGCUCAACUGGAUCUAGCACUGCGAAAUAGUGAAGCUGUGGCUAAUGCCUUCAAGAGCUCUAUCUUCUCUUCAGCAAUACACUUUCUGGUGUACUGCUCUGCCCACCUGACAUCCACUGAGAAGGAAGCAGUUGAACAAAAGCUGCAGAAUUCAUAUAUUGCUCAUUUGGAUUCCGCAAGAAGUGGAUCGUAUCCUACUAUUCUAUAUGUACUAGCACCGGAUCUUCCGAAAGGAGCAUGUGUGGAGAUAAAACCAACAUUGUAUGUCCCCACUGAUGACUACAACGACAAUGACGAUGAUGGAGAUAUUACCAGAGAGCCGGAGGCCGGAGGGUCAAAGCCAUCAUCGAGCAAAGUCCCAAGUGAGUGGAGCGCGCAAUACUCUGGCUUGCACGACUCAUGCUGCCUGGCCAACACGGUUGCUGGGAAGAUUUGCUCUGCUGUGGUUUCAGUCACGAAUGAUAUCGCGUCAAAGAUCUGUCCCAGCACCGAACAUCUACACCCCUCAAAGGAGCAUUUGAAAGCCAUAACCAGGUUUUGUGCUUUCCAGCUCGCAAAGACCCUGACAGACAACAGCUUCACCUGGGACGACGUGACGAUGCUGAGGUUCUACUACUCGGUAGAGCGCGCAGUGGCAGCGGAUGUGGUGUCCCGUGCGUUCUCCGAGGCCUUCGCCGAGCUCGGAGCCGCCGAUGGUUCCUUGAGAAUCGACGGGGCGCCUGUGUUCAACCUCAUCCCGGUCUCCGGAUCCGGUCGCUCCGCUUCCAUGGAUGAUGUCGUGACGUGCGAGCUGCUAGCUUCCAAGGCUUAA
rnacentral:rRNA from 1 species